UGUCGUCAAAAAAAAUAAAAAUCAAUCAGAUUCAAGAAAAACAAAUCCGGUUCAAUAUUUUAUUAAGAUGGAUCCCUGUCCUCAUCUUUAUCUGAAUAGAUGUGUUAUGUCCCUAUAAGCUACUACGUCGAUCUUUAUGUGUCUUGGCCGUGCCCCGUUCCGCUCUGAAGAGCUGAAGGAGGUUUGGAUCUUUCAAUCUUAUAUUCUUAUGUGGUAAGGGAUGUGAUCUAUCUCGUGCUAGAAAGAGUUGACUGAAUCGAAGCACAUGAGAAGGCAAAUAGACCCCUUCACCACCGAGUCUUGCAAUUCCCUUGCUUGAAUAAAGCCGCCUCUAGACUAGCAACUCAUUUCCGUCAUUUCUAAGUGAAUUCAUUUAAGUUGUUAGAGCAAUGAAGCUGAAAGGUGAAUUGAGAAGAUCGAGUGCGCACUAAUGAGUUUGAACUCAUGAGGUUUAAUCUAACUUGCAGCUUCCCUGUAAUAAGCAUCAGUUGUUCGAUUCGGGAUGAAGUUUAGAUGCUCAAAGCUCAAGAAGUGUGAGAGACAUCCUUGCAUGAAAAGAUGUCAAUAGAUAGUAAGGAUAGUUAGUGCUACCCGUUGUUGUCGAUAAAGAAGCUUGAAUUGUCUUACAUAGUUUUUUUUUUU